rnacentral:misc_RNA from 1 species
GAGAACUUCUGAUUUCUUAUGACAAGAGAUUCAUUUGUUGCUGGAGAUGGCCACCUUGAUGGGUCCAAAGGUCGUAAUAGAUUAAUCAGCACAACGAAGGAGGAUGUUCUAUCAGCAUUGUCCAAGAUUUUUAGCAUCAGAACAUUCAACGCUUUCAAGAGCUGACUGCCAUCAUCCAUGCGGGGUACUCUCUCAUCAAGAAGCCAAAGCAAAAGUUCAGUAAUGAGGAUAUCUAGGGUACGCUCCUUUACAGCAUGAGAAAGCGUUUUAUUCUGAAAUGUCUGCAUGAGUGUGUUAAGAACAUAUUUGCAAGAUCUUGAAGAUGCACCCAUCAGACUGAAGUCAAAAGUUUUUGCUACCUUAUUUGCUAAGCAGGAAACAAGCCUAUCUGCAUCUUUG